CAGUAACCUGAGUAUCAGGCCGUACUUUUUAGGGCACAGGCACGCCUGAUCGUGGGCGAAGGGGAGAAAAGUACGGCCUGACACAAAAGUGGCAUUUUGCCUGGUUGUUCAGUCCAGAAUCUGGACUGGGCGCUGAUUGGCCGAUUAGACAAACGAUUUUUAAAUCUGUCAUUUGAUUGGCUGGUGCUAAUUAGAUUAUACUAUUGUUGUUGAUAUAUUUUAUAACGAUCACAACUACAAUUAUAGCCGGCCCACUAAACGGCUGAAUUUAAAUUAAAACUGCAGUAAAAUUAGAAAAUAAUCGCAAAUUAGCGAUAUAUGUUGCAAAUGUAGCUUAUAUUAAAUCGCCAUAAGAUUGCACUAUCGACUGACGUAUAGUUAUAAAGUAUAC